AAAAUUAUUAAUCUGUGACAACUUUAUUGCAGCCUUACACUUCAGGGAUUGUCCCUGGGGUGCAGGUGGGGGCUUCCUAAAAUUCGCCCCAUCUUUCAAUUUCGAUGAUUAACAUAAAUGAUAUUCCCAUCCACAAAUAAAAGAAUGAAUAAAAAGACAUAGAUCAAAGAACAUGAAACCAUGACUGGAAUACAAUAAUAACAGCUGGAAAUAUCUUAUGCAUGGCAGUGUUAACCCAAAUACCUUAACUAUGGAUAUACACUGUAUCAGUGUUAAUUUUAUGGCAACAUAUGGAUGGGACUUUCAGUGGAAAUAUUGUCAAUGUGUAGAUACAUUUACAGUGCAACAUCCUCAAUUGUGGACUUUACAGUGGAUGUAUUCUAAUGGCAAUGUAUGCAUAAAAGUACAAUUAAUUGUGAACUUAUCAGUGAGAUAUUGUAAUGGCAAUGUAUGUUAAAUUACAAUGCAUUGGACUUCACUGUGGACUUACUAGUGAAAAUGUUCUCAUGGCAAUAUGUGGAUAAAAUUACAAUUGUGGACGAAUAAGUGAAAGUGUUCUAAUGGCAAUGUAUGCAUAAAAUUACAAUGUGUUCAACUUAACUGUGGUUCCUACAUGUAUCAGUGGAAAUAUUCUAGUGGCAGCUGGAUACAAUUUAUGGUGCAACAGCCUCAAUUGCAGACAUUUCACCAGUGAUAUUCUAAUGGCAAUGUAUGGAUAAAAAUUACAAUGUAUGGAUGAAGCUCCAUCACCUCAGCUAUGGACUCAGUGCAAAUGUAUUAAUUAUUAUGUGACAAACAAUGACUGAAACACAGUGCAAUAGACCAAACUGUGUAAAAUAUUUGAAAUGGCAAUUAUGCACUAUCAAAUCGCAACACAAUCACCUACUAUUAAUACUUGACCAAUUCAACCUUCAAUUAAUUAUUUUGCAAGGAUACAUGUACAUGGGUCUUAUAUCAAUAUUAACUUUUAACUAUCAAGGUCUUGUGCACAGUUAACAUAUACAUGUAUUCAGAAACCUAUAUUAUGAUAUACAUUUGUAAUAUAUAGUGAAAUAUGACAAGACUUCGAAGAAAACUACUUAAAAUAACAUUAAAUGAUUUUUAAUUUUU